GACAGUUUGGCCGAGUGGUUAAGGCGAUAGAUUGCUAUCUUUGGAUUAACCUUCUAUUGCGCAUUGCGUUCAUGAGUUCGAAUCUCAUAGCUGUCG
rfam:Wallemia ichthyophaga EXF-994 unplaced genomic scaffold scaffold3, whole genome shotgun sequence.